rnacentral:lncRNA from 1 species
GCUGGAAUGAAACAGAGGUGAGAUCGGGACGCCGGCGGAGGUCCAUGGCGCCUGCAGAAUGGGAGGCAGAGAGGGAUUAGAGAGAAGAAGAGAGGAGAGGAGGAGGAAGAAGAAGCAGCAGGGGCGCGGUGGCUCGAAUUGCUCUGGAUCGGGAUCAGCGGUGGCUCGGCUCGCUCUGGAUCUGGAGAGGAGGAAGAAGAAGAACCAGCGGGCGGCGGCUCUGGAUCGGGAUCCCCUCCCGUUCGCUGCGGGCUCAACCCUUCCCCAGCAAGAGCAGGGGUGCGCCCGCGCGUCCUCCUCCUGGUACAGCCUCAAAUCCCUCAUCCAUUUCCCCGUUCUCUGCUUCUCUGACUCUAGCUGUGUUAAACGCAUAGUAUUAACUUCUUGAACGGCCAUGGCUCACCCACGGGUUCUGUGCGUCUAAAUUGCUUUGCUUGCAGGGAGGGGAAGACCGGUGAUGGACUGGCCGACGAGGGUGAAGAUCGCGGCGGGAUCGGCGCGUGGGUUGGCCUACGUGCACGAGGACUGUAAGAUGUGGAUGGGUUUACUUUUGCUCCUAUUUCUGCGUCUAUUCGUUCUGAAUUUGCAGCUGAUUUUUUGUGCUCUUUGCUGUUGUACAUAGGUCAUCCAAGGAUCAUCCACGAGGACAUCAAGUCAUCCAACAUCCUUCUCAACGACAACUUAGAAGCUCAGGUUAUGCUCUUUCUCAAUAAAAUGGCUAUUGUUCUAUCGAUGGUAGUAUGUUCAGUUACUGACCUUUGUCGAGAAAAAAAAUGUUCAGUUACUGACGAAACCUGAAUGUCGCAUUCAUCGUAAUCUAGGUCGCGGAUUUCGGGCUUGCCAGGCUCGCGGAGAACGACGUGACACACGUCUCGAUGCGUGUGAUGGGCACAUUCGGAUAAACAAACCAUAUCUAACUGCAGGAGCCAUUCAUCUCGGCACGUCGAUAGGAAAUGAGGAAAAAUUGUCAAAAACUCUGUGUUUGUGGUGACUGAAAACGAACAGGUACUUGGGACCGGAGUACGCCUCGACAGGGAAGCUGGCGGAGAAAUCGGACGUGUUCUCCUUCGGGGUGGUGCUCCUGGAGCUCAUCAACGGCCGGAAGCCCGUCGACACAUCCCGCCCCCUCGGCGACGAGAGCCUCGUGGAGUGGGUAAGCAAGAUCACCACCGGCAGGCAGCAACAGCAGCACACCCAUGCAGUACGCCAUUGCAUCCAUCACUGACAGCGUGCUCGCUCGUGCACCUUGUCGCAGUCGAGGCCGCCGCUGAANNNNNNNNNNNNNNNNNNNNNNNNCCGCGCGAUCGACGAGCAGGAGUUCGAGGAGCUGGUGGACCCGCGCCUCACCGGUGACUACGACGACGUCGAGAUGUUCCGCAUGAUCGAGGCGGCGGUGGCAUGCAUCCGGCACUCGGCCGCCAGGAGGCCCAAGAUGGGGCAGGUUCGUGCGUUCGGGCGAGGAAGAAGAACCUCCUCCAACCUCACAACGUCUAUUCUCGCCAUUUAUUUGUUUCGUCUUGGGCUGCGUUGCAGGUCGUUAGGAUUCUGGACAGCCUGACCCUGAACGACGUGGAGCUGAGCAACGGCGGCAGGAGGGAUCUGUAGCCAGCCUCGCGAGCUUCCGAUGAUUUUGUUUCUGUUCAUCUGUUGAUUGUUUUGUUCAUGAUAUUUUACAAUGAAUUUGUAUUUGCUGUCUUACUACAUGUCUCUUUCUUUCUUUCUUUGGUGUGUACGUUAACAGGGUAUGCCCACAUGGUCAUGUAUUUUUAGUUAUUCUGAACAGAUAUACGUUGUUUUUCUCAUAGGUUCCCUGAAGUAAGAAAGUGUUGUGAAUAGGGCAUUGUGGAAAUUAUUGUUGUACGCCCCUAUACACAAGCCUUCGUAGGCGUUAAGAGUCCAUCCAUGAAAAGAGGCUGGAAAAGCUUGAACCGUAAUUUCCGAUCACCCUCUAGAAUGGCAUGUUCUCCUCGGUUGAAAUAGGAAGAAUGUCAUGUUCUUGAUUAGAAUAGGCAGUUUCUUCCCUUAGAACACUACUUGAGAGUUUCCUACCUCAUACGACUCGGAAAUUGCCAUCUUAAUUUCCCACGCCAUUUGAAAUCAGUAAAUUCCUGAAAGAGGAGGGGGCGAUGAAAUGGAAUCGACCGGCUCAAAUACGACAUCUUCUAGAGGGCACAUAUUUUUUUAUGGAUUUGCUAAUCUUAAUCUUCUUGCCAAUGGUAAACACAACAAGUUGGCACAUCAUAUGACUAGAUUUUUUUUGACAAUCAUCUUUUGACUAGAAUAAGGCAAAGAGAUCGAGGUCAAAGUGGACACCGAGCUAUGGGGCAACUAUCUCUCCUAACACUAGCUUGAUUUAUAAACGCUCUCUUGAAAUGGAAUAAAACUUCAGGUGAGGAUUCUCUUCUUGUGAAAGUUUGAAAAGAAAUCUAUACAUACUAAUAAAAGAAAUAGGCAUUCUUAAUCCGUCAUACUCUUUCUCUAGAAACCCUCUUAAGUUUCUGAUAAUCAACCCGCAGUAUAUAUUAAUUGAGUUUUUGAAAAUUCAUAUCUUUUUAACGCUAACUUUAAAUUUAACAUGUUAUAUAUGAAAUUUGAUUAGAAAAAUAUGUAGAAUCUGAAUAUGAUAUUAUUUUACGUGUUAACAAUUUAAAAAUGCUAUUUACUAUAUAACCUUAAUCGAUAGCGCAUGAUCAGUCUUUCCUUCAUAUCGGUGUCGAUUCGAAUUGAAAAUGAACACUUUGGCAAAACUAGGAUGGAGAAUAAAAAUAAUAUCUAUAAUCACGCAUGCACGCCUUGUCAAAACCUCACAGAAAAAAUAAAUUUAUCAUUUUAUGUUGAGAGGGAGACAUCUUAAGAUUGACAACAUUCAAACAUGUUGUGAUGAUGUGAACACUAAAGCCAGCGUCGUGGAAAGAAGGGUAAAUAGAAAUACACAUGGGAUUUCAUGUGUUGAAAUAAAGGACACGGGCCUAUGGACCCAUGAUUGUUAGAUUAGUGAGCGUUUUUCUUACCCGUUGCAACGCACGGGCUCUUUUGCUAGUAAUACCUAUCGAGCAGCGCUGCAGCUGCCGAUCGAUCCGACACUCGAUGUCUCGAGGCUCGACUCACGAGGAAGUGCUAGCGACCCAGUGCCAUGAGCGGCCCAAUGUCCAGGAAUAGUUAACAUGUUAUAGGCCUAUAAAAAACUUGGGACCCCUAACAUCUAUGGGCCCUGUACGGGCCGCAGAGUCUGGACAGCUAUGGGCCCGGCGCUGUUAACCAGGCCCAAAUGGAUCAAGUAUGCAAAGUGGCAAAAAACGCAUCCCUACCAGUAGGCCUUGAUCAAGCCCAGAGGUAAUCAAACGCAUCCCUAGCAGUAGGCCUUGAUCAUACUAAUACAACUACUUGGCCAAAUACACAGCCAGAUUCCUUAACCCCACCCUGAAUCCCGCUGAAUGAAAUAAUAGUAUAAAUGAGUCAGGUGGCAUCGUCUAAUAUAAUACUAGUAGAUGAAUAGAGUAUUAGAGUAAAUACAAUAAAGUGACGUAGGGGCGGGGGGCCCUCUAAGACUCAAAAUGGUAUAUUAUUUUAGUUGAAAGAGAGAGAAGAAAAAAAAAAGGACUACAAACUAAUAGCCAGUUGUAGCACGUGGUCCUAGAAACUUUGUGAAAGAGAAAGAUGGGCCAUGUAUUAAUAACUAUUAUAUUUGUUGGCUAUAAGUUUGGCUAUAAAUAAAAUGACAACAUCAUAUAGCUAGCAGUAUUCAUAAACAUUCUCUUAGGACAUAUCUAGGACACAUCUAGAAGUGCCUAAUUAUUGCACCCCUAAGUGACACAAUCAAGCAUAACACAGAUCUCCGCACAAAUUCAAUGAUAUAGAAAUUAGAUGUGUAAAUACUUAUGGGCUAUGGCACAUCUAGACUAUAUGUGCUUUAGGUUGGACGGUAUUAAUAUUUUCUGGGCUUCCCACGCAUAAUGGGCUAGUUUGGUUUGCAUCCACGGUGGUAUUCCUGAGGAAAAGUGCUGCCUGGCGUGGCUUGAAAUGUGAAGAAAAUUUUGCCUGGUCAAGCAGCGUGUGGCGAAAGACGUUUGGUUUCCUUACUCGCCUGAUGAGUUAUGUAGGUUCGAAAAUUAGCCCAUCAGCUCGUCCAUCGAGAAGUAUUACGUUGGUUAGCGUCCCAGGCAGCUGUUAGUGGUCACGAGGCGUGGGAUUCCUUGCGCCUGGACCAGGCUAACCACCUGCCUGAAGUCUCCUGCCAGGCUAAUCACUACUCAUCCAGGCAACCUCAGGCAUUUCCAGGACAGUAACCAAACGAGUUCCUCAAAACAGCAGGCACGCUUCAGGCCGGAUGUCAUGAGGACACGAACCAAACUGACUCAAUGUACUUGCACACUGAUGUCCUAGUGCUUGUGAGAGAAUCGGAAAUCUCGAACAACUCUGUUGGUGAUUCAAGAAGCAUGCUCUAGAAUUUCUCCUUCCGUAAGCCAAAAGAUCCACGCCCUAUAAUCGAGGUAAAGCACUCGCGCAGCUCUGAUUAGCUAUCUAAUUAAUUAAUCCAGCUAGGUGCUCUAGUACUAGGUGAGCGGAUUGAGGCGAGGUGCUCUAGUACUAAAUGCAAUGGAGCGAAUGGGAAUAAACGCAAGCACCUGGCGGGCGGUUGAAGCUGGCCUGGUCCUGGUGGCGCUCCGCUCCCAGUCCCAGCUUCCAGUGGGCGUAGCCGCGGGGGAGAGGGUGGGUGACCAAGGAGGAGGACGCAAUUUAGCUGGAAGACGAGGCGGGGUGAGGUGAUCCGGCUCGCCGUCGUCUUCGCCUGGAGCUGGAGGUCGACCAGGGCAGCUCCGCGCCCUCACCCUCUCCGCCGCCUGGAUUUCCGCGCCAUCAGGCCGACCACGCACGCCCAGCUUGCACGUCGGGGCGUCUCGUCCCCGCGCCACCACCCGCGCGGCCGACGAGUCGGUCUGGCGCCUGCGUUACGAGCGCGCGGCCGCGGCCGCGCCCUUGGCUCCUCUCACGCUCGGCUGCUGUGGAUUCUUUCACUCAGGGACAGAGGGGAGCGUUUUAAGGUGGGCCGGAGGAUAACGCGAUUCUUAUUUUCCACAUGGUUAUUUUGGUUUUUGUUCAUUUUUCUUUGAUUUUUUUUAUUUCCUUCUCUUUUUUUAUCGUUUUCUAGGUUUUCACUGUUUCUUUUUGGGUUUUGAUUGUUUCCAUUCUUUUACAUGGUUUUGUUUUCUUUUCCUGUGGUCUGGUUUCUUUGUUUCUUUUCUCAAUUUUAAUGGUUUUUUCAUUAUUAUUUUUCUUUAUUUCACUGUCAGUUUU